rnacentral:rRNA from 1 species
UGUGUAUCAGUACAUGGCAUAUCAAUAAGCGGAGGAAAAGAAACUAACAAGGAUUCCCCUAGUAACGGCGAGUGAAGCGGGAAGAGCUCAAAUUUGAAAUCUUAAAGGGUUUCCCUUUACGAAUUGUAGUUUAAAGAAGUGUUUUCUGUUGGAGUUUCGGUAAAAGUUCUUUGGAAUAGGACAUCAUAGAGGGUGAGAAUCCCGUAUUUGGUCAUUCCUCCUAGCGUUGUGAUACACUUUCAACGAGUCGGAUUGUUUGGGAAUGCAGUCCAAAAUGGGUGGUAAAUUUCAUCUAAAGCUAAAUAUUGGCGAGAGACCGAUAGCGAACAAGUACCGUGAGGGAAAGAUGAAAAGAACUUUGAAAAGAGAGUUAAACAGUACGUGAAAUUGUCAAAAGGGAAGCGUUUGACACCAGUGUUGUUUUCUCGAAAAUCAAUUAAAAAUGGUGGGAUUCUGUGUUGUAUUGACUUUAUCAGCUUUCUGCACUCUUUUUCCUAUCUUUUUUAAUGCACUUUUCGUUUAACAAGUCAACAUCAAUUUCUUUUGUUGUAAAAGAGUCAUUGGAAGGUGGCUUUCUUUUCGGAGAAAGUGUUUAUAGCCUUUGGCUUCUGCAAUCGGAGAGAUUGAGGUCUGCAGCGUAGAUCCUUCGGGGUUAGAUGCAUUUGUGCUAAGUUAUAGCCUUUCAUAGACAACUUGUUGACUAUGAUCAGUCAUGUAGCUUACUCGCUUAUGCUAUUUUACCUACGCUUAGGAUGUUGACAGCAGUAUAGACUGU